AAAAGAGAAGAUCAGAAAGCUUCUUCAAGAAGCUUUCUUGAUGGAGGGGAGCGGCAGACGGGUGAGUAACACGUGGGAAUCUACCCAUCCCUGCGGAACAACUCCGGGAAACUGGAGCUAAUACCGCAUACGCCCUACGGGGGAAAGAUUUAUCGGGGAUGGAUGAGCCCGCGUUGGAUUAGCUAGUUGGUGGGGUAAAGGCCUACCAAGGCAACGAUCCAUAGCUGGUCUGAGAGGAUGAUCAGCCACAUUGGGACUGAGACACGGCCCAAACUCCUACGGGAGGCAGCAGUGGGGAAUAUUGGACAAUGGGCGCAAGCCUGAUCCAGCCAUGCCGCGUGAGUGAUGAAGGCCUUAGGGUUGUAAAGCUCUUUCACCGAUGAAGAUAAUGACGGUAGUCGGAGAAGAAGCCCCGGCUAACUUCGUGCCAGCCGCCGCCGUAAGAC
rnacentral:rRNA from 1 species